GAAAGCGGGGGAUCGCAAGACCUCGCGCUAUUGGAGCGGCCGAUGGCAGAUUAGCUAGUUGGUGGGGUAAAGGCCCACCAAGGCGACGAUCUGUAGCUGGUCUGAGAGGACGACCAGCCACACUGGGACUGAGACACGGCCCAGACUCCUACAGGAGGCAGCAGUGGGGAAUUUUGGACAAUGGGGGAAACCCUGAUCCAGCAAUGCCGCGUGUGUGAAGAAGGCCUUCGGGUUGUAAAGCACUUUUGGCAGGAACGAAACGGCUUGGGCUAAUACCUCGGGCUAAUGACGGUACCUGCAGAAUAAGCACCGGCUAACUACGUGCCAGCAGCCGCGGUAAUACGUAGGGUGCAAGCGUUAAUCGGAAUUACUGGGCGUAAAGCGAGCGCAGGCGGUUGUGUAAGACAGAUGUGAAAUCCCCGGGCUUAACCUGGGAACUGCAUUUGUGACUGCAUGGCUAGAGUGCGUCAGAGGGGGGUGGAAUUCCACGUGUAGCAGUGAAAUGCGUAGAGAUGUGGAGGAACACCGAUGGCGAAGGCAGCCCCCUGGGAUGACACUGACGCUCAUGCUCGAAAGCGUGGGGAGCAAACAGGAUUAGAUACCCUGGUAGUCCACGCCCUAAACGAUGUCUACUA
rnacentral:rRNA from 1 species